rnacentral:tRNA from 1 species
GGGGUUGUAGCUCAUGUGGCAGAGCGCAGGCUUAGCAUGCAUGAGGUCCUGGGUUCAAUCCCCAGUGCCUCCU